ensembl:lncRNA
GCCUUUGAGUUCGCUUUUUUUAACUUUCUUAACUUUUAAUACUUUUGUUCGUUCUAGUUUGUUUCACUUCUAACCCGGUGAAGUCCUACCCUCUCUAACGAGGCUGCUUUUGAGGGUUUUAGUGCUUUUUUAGUGAUUGUUUUUUAUGCCGCAGCAACAAGCUGCCUUUGUUUACUCCGGGGAACAGCUGUUUGCGCUAAUGCCGACCGGCAUAGUGGACAGACCAGCUGAUAUCCCACCUGAACUCUGGAGGAAAGCUCACCGGGGAUGCAGAGGAGGGAAACAAUGUCGUGGGAUGAGAGGAGGGUCGAGACGGGUAGGGCUUAUGGAUAGGAGAAGAUUUAAGCCGUGUCUCCCCUCGGUUGUUAUGGGAAAUGUGCGGUCUCUUAGCAACAAAAUGGACGAGCUGACAGCGCUGACGCGGAGUCACCGGGAGUACCGGGAGUGCAGCCUGAUGUGUUUUACUGAGACAUGGCUGCACAGGGACAUUACGGACCAUAUAGUCUCUGUGGAUGGCUUCCACACCAUCCGAGCUGACCGGGAUUGUAUUGAGAGCGGUAAGCGGAAAGGAGGGGGUUGCCGUUUUUGUAAACAGCAGUUGGUGCAAUCCUGGUCACAUCACCAUUAAAGAACAGCUCUGUAGCCCGGAUGCUGAACUGCUUGCCGUUGGACUUCGUCCAUACCAUCUGCCUAGAGAGAUCCCGCAUGUUAUCAUUGUUGUACUGUACAUCCCUCCCUCUGCAAACCCAACAUCUGCCAGCAGCAUCGUCCACACCACCAUCUCCAAACUCCAGACUCAACACCCCAGUGCCCUCAUCAUCAUUUCGGGAGACUUUAACCACGUCACCUUGGAUAGAGUUCUGCCGACCUUCAAGCAAUAUGUGAGCUGUCCUACCAGAGAGGAGAGGACCCUGGACCUGUUGUAUGCUAACAUUAAGGAUGCAUACAUCUCCUCUUCUCUCCCCCCUCUGGGCAGGUCAGAUCAUAACCUGGUUCACCUCAAACCCUGCUAUGUGCCGCUGGUGAAGAGGAAGCCUACGACCACAAGGACUGUGAGGAGGUGGUCGGGGGAGGCUUAUGAGGCACUGCAGGGCUGCUUUGAGGUGACUGACUGGCCUGCACUCUGUGAGUCCCACGGGGAGGACAUUGAUGGGCUUACAGAGUGCAUCACGGACUAUAUCAACUUCUGUGUGGACUGCAAUGUCCCUGCUCGCACUGUUACCUGUUAUGCCAACAAUAAGCCGUGGAUCACAAAGGACAUUAAGGCCAUCCUGAAUGAAAAGAAGAGGGCGUUCAGAGAUGGCAACCGUGAUGAGGUGAGGAGAGUACAGGUGGUACUCAAACUUGCAAUCAAGGAGGCAAAAGGCAGAUACAGGAGAAAGCUGGAGAAUAAACUCCAGCAAAACAACACGAGGGAUGUGUGGAGUGGUAUGAGAAACAUCACUGGGUUCCAGAAGACUGGUGGCAUGGGGUUGGAGGGCUGUGUGGACCGGGCCAAUGAACUGAACCUAUUUUUCAAUAGGUUUGAUACAGCGGCCCCUCCCCCACAAGACUCUUCUGCUGGCUGCCAAACACCUACUGCCACUCCACCUCCCCCUACUCCUUCUCCUUACAGACCUCUUGUCUGCCCCUUGACGCCUCAAUUCACUCCUACCUACUCCACCCCUCCUCCCUGCUCUGCAUCAUGUCCUCUACAACCUGAGGACCUCACCCCUCCCCCAACUGUCACCUCUACAGUGUCCUUCACGCCUGACCUGGUGAGAAGACAGCUAACAAGACUCCACUCCGGCAAAGCUGCAGGCCCCGAUGGUGUGUUGCCCAGGGUGCUUAAAGCCUGUGCCCAUCAGCUGUGUGGAGUACUGAGUCUGGUCUUCAGCCUGAGCCUGCACCUCCAGAGGGUCCCCGUGCUGUGGAAGACGUCCUUUCUCGUUCCUGUACCUAAGAAGCCGCGUCCCAACGGCCCUCAGGACUACAGACCGGUGGCCCUGACGUCCUAUGUCAUGAAGACCCUGGAGAGGCUCAUCCUGGAGCAGCUAAGGCCUAUGGUCAGGCCCUUCACUGAUCCACUACAGUUCGCCUACCAGCCCCGCCUGGGAGUUGAGGACGGCAUCAUCUACCUGCUGAACAGAGUCUACACUCAUCUGGACAAGCCGGCAAGCACUGUGAGAGUCAUGUUCUUUGACUUCUCCAGUGCCUUCAACACCAUCCGUCCGGCUCUACUGGUAGAGAAGAUGACUGCGAUGGAGGUGGAGGCCCCCAUCGUGUCCUGGAUUGUUGAUUACCUGACGGGCAGACCACAGUACGUACGCCUACAAAACUGUGUGUCUGACAAGGUGGUCAGCAACACUGGGGCCCCACAGGGGACUGUCCUCUCUCCCUUCCUCUUCACCCUUUUCACCUCAGACUUUAACUAUUGCACUGAGUCCUGCCACCUUCAGAAGUUUUCUGAUGACUCAGCAAUAGUUGGCUGCAUUGAAAAGGGGGAUGACCGUGAAUACAG